UGGAGACACAGAAGAGGGCUCUAGGAAAAACUUUUGGAUGGGAUUAUGUGGAAACUACCCUGCGAUUCUCCGCUGCCAGAGCCGGCCAGGCGCUUCCACCGCAGCGCAGCCUUUCCCCGGCUGGGUUGAGCCUUGGAGUCGUCGCUUCCCCAGUGCCCGCCGUGAGUGAGCCCUCGCCCCAGUCAGCCAAAUGCUCCUCCUCGGCCUCCUCCUGCUGACAUCUGCCCUGGCCGGCCAGAGAACCGGGACUCGGGCUGAGUCCAACCUGAGCAGCAAGUUGCAGCUCUCCAGCGACAAGGAGCAGAACGGGAGGAACUAUACCCAGCAUCUGGACUGGCAUAGAAAAGAGGAGAAAGAACAUUAAAAGGAGUGCAAGAUCCCCGGCAUGAGAGAGUUGUCACUAUAUCUGGUAAUGGGAGCAUCCACAGCCCG
rnacentral:lncRNA from 1 species